UACGGAGGGGGCUAGCGUUGUUCGGAAUUACUGGGCGUAAAGCGCACGUAGGCGGCUUGGUAAGUCAGAGGUGAAAUCCCGGAGCUCAACUUCGGAACUGCCUUUGAGACUGCUUGGCUUGAAUCCGGGAGAGGUGAGUGGAAUUCCGAGUGUAGAGGUGAAAUUCGUAGAUAUUGGGAAGAACACCGGUGGCGAAGGCGGCUCUCUGGACCACAACUGACGCUGAGGCGCGAAAGCGUGGGGAGCAAACAGG
rnacentral:rRNA from 1 species